rnacentral:rRNA from 1 species
GCAAAGAGGUCACACCCGUUCCCAUACCGAACACGGAAGUUAAGCUCUUUAGCGCCGAUGGUAGUUGGGGGUUUCCCCCUGUGAGAGUAGGACGUCGCUAGGC